UUUAGAACUUUCUUUAAUUUUAAGUACUCAAACUUCUAUCCAUCUACUGUAAUGUGAACCUGUUCAUGUGCUGGUGAAAUAAGCCUCAAAUUGUCAAUUCUUCUCUUGCUUUUUGCUGUCUCGCACUUGACAAUGACUUCAAGUUGUUAGUAGUUAAUUCCAGGGCAGAUGAAUGCAUUGCUUGCAUGGAUGGAGAAUAUGCAUACCAUGCAUAAUAUGUAUGUAAUUCUCGUGUAGGACAAGGGAGGAGACAUUACUCUGCUGGGGAGCUUGUGCUCAGAAACUGGAGAGGUGUUAUCACAAGACAUGACAGAUGAUGGCAAGAUUUAGUUUCGUGAUUUUCGUUUUAAUUGUUUCUGUUUUAUGGGCCCGUUUUUUGUGACAGGGUUAGCCCUAACGAAAGCAUUUGUUUUCAGGGGAAACCUAGCAGCUACAGUAGAAGCUUGAUGGACUAUGUUGGGAGAGAAUUUGAAGUGUUUGGUGCAUCUUGCUGCAUGCAUCUAGUACAGUGAGUUUACAGUGAUGUUGGACAGUUAAUACACGGAAAAAUGCAGUGGAUAUCAGACACAAGAUCAUUCCCACGUCCAGCUGACAGCUUAGUGCCAGAAAUGCAGUGCUACUCAAUAGACUUUGGUGGACUUCUGCAGGCGCUGCUAAACCUGAUGGAGAUGGAGUGCACAGCAGACCGGUGUUGGCAUAGCUAAGUUCUAAGCAAGGAAAUGGACUUCUUGGAAACAGUGCUGAGGUAGUGAUGUCCGGUUUUCCCAGUUCUAACAGCUCCCAAGGUUUGCAGAUGCCUUCUGUAUUGGAUAUCGGGGUUGAACGUGCCUGUGCUACUAGGUUUUCUGUAACGGCUUGUACUUGGAGAAUCUCUUUCAAAAUCGGUGAGCAGGGUGCUCUUGUGCUGGACUAUGAGGAGUAACUUUCUACGAGUUUUGGAACUGUGCUGAUAUGGCACUUGGCAAGCUUUACCUGGGAGCAUCUCGUGCAGAGAACAUGAAGAGCAUAUCAGAGGUUAGAGGAUAAAGAAAAGCAGAAAUAUUUGCUCUUCUCCAGAUGCCUGUGACUCACAUGCUGAUGAGUGCCUGUUCUGCUUUAGCCUCCAAUGCAUCUUUUGAGGCCUGAUGUUCCAGGGAAGUCCUUGUGCUGCAUAUAUUUGAGAUCAAAGCCAGGACCUAUCAAAUGUGGAGGGGAAAAAAAGGAAAAGGAUGAGAAAGCAAGACUUGACUACAUGCAAUAGCAGAUAUGGCUGGAUGUAGAAGCAGAUCUGCAGAAAGAUAAAAAAUCUUCUGUGAAUAACUUCAGAGAAUUGCACGUCAACCUGCUCUGCAACACAAAUCACUACACUUCAUGGAGGAUGGGACAGGAGAAUAGCCAAAGGAAGUCGAUGAGGAUGGCUGUACUGGUGAGGAACUAAGGAGCUGACAUUACUUCAUCUGAAGAGAAAAGAAGACAAAGGUUAUUCAAAUCCACACUUACUCUAACACUGGAAGCCGUUCCAGCAGCAGCAGCACCUUGAGGAGGACAUCAGGAGGAGUGCUCAAACAUAAGAUUGAAGUCUGCCAAACAUGAUGUCCACCAAAUUUUUACUGCUAAAAAGUUGAGGUCACCCAAUGAGAAAUACAGAGACAGUAAGAUGAUCAAAAUACCUCAGGAGAAGAAUGAAUGAACAAUUUGAAAAAAAGAGAGAAAAGCACUGUGCACUCCAACAACAGCAUCUUAAGUGCAAAACAUCAUUGUACAGAACUUUAUUACGAAGUGAUAAAUCAGCACGCUGAGGCUUCAUUAACUUCAGUGGAACCAGACUGAUUUAUGCCAGCUGAGUCAAUGGCUGCGUUUAUAUGUCUGCAUACGUCAAAAUUAAUCAUGUUUGGAAAAAUAGAAGAUUCUAGGAAUAUAUCCCAGAGGAGAAGAUAUAUAUACUUAUUUAUAAAUUCUACUAAUAAGGUAAUAUACACAGGACUGAAAUGGGGAGAGACCAAACAUGAAACGUGGGUAUAUAGGCUCCUUCAUUACAAAACAUAGGAAACUUGUCUUUGGUGGAGAGAAGACUGGAAAAAACAUUUCACUUUCUUCUGUGUUUUUUCUUCUUAGGUGAUACUUAGCAGGCCUUUCUACAGGACUCUGAAUGACACAGCUGUCCUCCUCCAGAGUUGAACUUCUGCCCUCCUGCAUGGCAAGAAACAGAUAUGCACGUCCUCUGUCAGCACUCUCCAUCUCCAGCAUUCAGACUCCUGCAACCUUCCCACUGGUCCACAUCCUCACGCAGUCUUCCCAGUAAGGGGAAGAGAGCUGUAGAGAAUAGAAUAACCAUGGUUACUCCUACAUCGUCAGAAUUGGAAAGUAAUGUUAUCCAUGGGCUGAAGGAAGCUCAACCCUGCAGUCCAUUCUUCAAGCUCCUUCCCUACAAAUGCAGUGGGAGAGAUGUCAUUUGGGUGCCAAUGAGUUGUGUGCAUCAUAAAGAAUCACAAAAUAUCCCAAGCUGGAAGGGACCCAGAAGAAUCACUGAGUCCAACUCUGGCUCCACACAGGACCACCCAAACCCUAUGUCUCAGAGCAGUGCCCAAACGCGCCCUGAGCUCCAGGAGCCUGUUCCAUGCCCACUGCCCUCUGGUGCAGAGCCGUUACCCCAAACCAACCUGACCCUCCGCUGAGGCGGCUCCAUGCCAUUCCCUCAGGUCCUGUCACCAUUACCGGAGAGCAGAGCUCCGUGCUGCCCCUCUGCUCGCAGUGAGGAGCUGUGGGAUGCCAUGAGAGAGCUUUUCUCUGGGCUGAACAAACCAAGGGACCUCAGCUGCUCCCCUCCACCCCUUGCCCUCCUCAGCAGCACGAGUUAUGAAAAGGAGGCAUGGAUUACAUCUUACAGGCCUCCAAGAUCCUGAUUAUGCUGUUUGAUGAUUCUACAUAAAAUAAACAUUUCUAGCCCAAGACAGACAGCAGCAUUGAAAAGCCCUUAGUUUUUUUUUUUUUUCCAGGUAAUCUUCAGGUAAGCAUGUGGUUAAAACUUAUUUUGUGUCCCUUUAAAAAUUUCUUGUUAGUGAACUGAUGAAACUCUUGUUUGGUUCAUUCCUACUUAGAAGUAGUGCUAGUUUUAGGUCACUGAUUGUUUAGAAAUUGGUAAUGGGGAAGAAGAACGCAAUACUCUCUCCUUCCAUCUGCCAGUUGACCUAUUGGUGUUGUUUUUCUUGUUUUAAAUAUUCAGCUGGGUCCACAGAUCUGCCUGAAAACUACAGCAAGACCAGGGCUCUUAUUUGGGGGACUAACAUCAGGCAAAUACAUUUUAGGAAAGAUUUGUGAUUGAACUGCUACAGAAAUUUGUUCCUACUCCUUUUAAUACCAAAUCACACUCUAGAACUGUUCACUGACCUUAACUGCAUUAACAGUGACUUCUGUUUUUAUGCAAAUUUGAAAGAACAAAACCCUAACAACUGAGGAUGCAUAAAUCCACCUUCCCCACACUCUAGCUCUGCUUCUAAUCUUAUUAUUACCAUAUAUAUUAAUAAUAUUAUAUAUCUAUAAAUAUAUAUAUAUAUUAUAUUAAUAUUAUUAUUUACCAUAUGAAGAGGAUGGAAAGAAACCAGACUUAGGUUUCUUUUUAGGUUUAGAUUUUAUACAGGAACAUCAGCUCCUAGAAACCUUGUCAUAGAUGCCCACAAACUCAAGAACUCAAGAGACAUCUCUGUUUUAGUUGUGCUGAUUUUCUUGUCCAAACUGAAAUAAAACACUGCUCCCGACCAUGUAAUAGAAACUAGCUAAAGUCUGCCCUGUGUGUUCCAUUUUCUCAUUUUGAUGCCUUGUGUUUGAAUGCCUUUCUGCUAAAGCAUCUGUCACUUUCCACUGGUCAUCAGCAUUUUUAGCUGUAAAAAAAAAAAAAAAAAAAAAAAAAAAGGGAAAGAAACUUAUUAGAUGAUAGAUUCCAGACAUUCAUUGGGAAUGAUGUAUUCAGUGGUAGAACAUUUCCCUUCCAUAUUCUUGUCUCCCCGAGCUGCUCUUCAGCACACUGUGACCAUUACAUGACACUGUAUUUCCCAGAGUUUACCAGGAAUUUGACAGACUGAGUGGUUGUGUGUUUUUAUGGUAACAAAAGGUAUUAGAAAUAUCACUACUGAAAAAGCUGCACUGGAAACCUGUGGAUGUUCCUUAUGGACGUUCCAGUUGACCUGUUUUAAUUCCCAACAUGGUUACAAUUAUUUUAGGAGAGAAAACAUCACACACAUCUAAUUAUUUGGAUCAUUUUCUGCUUUGGACAGAUUGCAACAAUCUUACACAAGCACUGGCACAAAGCAUUAGGGCAGUCUGGUUUUUGACCCACAUCUGAUCAUUUUGCAGUACACGCAACUGUGCUUCCAGUGGUAGAUUCCCCCAUGCAAAGUUCCUAAAUGUGGUAAAUAAAGCCAUCUGUUGUGGAAGCUGGGUUUGAAAAUUACAUGCCCCGUUAACCACUGUUCUGCAUAUGGAGCUAUUCAUGUCUUAUACAUAAGAAUGCCUUUCUGAAAGCAGUUUCGUUCACCUCAUUUUGCAUAUUUCUGGGCCAUCUCCCAGAUAUCUUCCUUCUUACAUUAACUUGUGUCAGACUGACGUCAUUUUUCUCAUGGUCGAUAAUUUUUGGAGGAAUGGUGUAGUAUUUUCCAUCCCAGUGUCUCGCUCUGUUAGUCUAGGCAAAGUCUUCUUGGUUCUUGGUGACCUUGGGAUUAUGAAUUCCACCAGCCAUAUGAUUUGCAAUUUCACAAAGUGAAACCAGUGGAAUGGUAAUGUGGGUAAGACUUCACUGUAAACAUACGUGCAUUUCAAUGAUGUCUGUAUUUUGCCAAUUUAAAAGACAAUACCAGACCACCCGUUACAAACUAGUUUUCAGCAUCCCGUUAUGACUGCUCUCAUCAUCUGCUUUGAUGGCUUUAAAAUACCAGGAUCUGUAGAGGCAGAGGAGCCCUGCAGAUCAUCCGGGUAGUCUUUUAGUAAAGCAUCUGCUUCUGUGUUUACCCUUGGUUCCUGUGUUUGAAGAAUCCAACACCCUAAUUGAGGCUGGAAAGCCUGAUUGAUGAUUUUUUUAAUAGCUGUUAUUCUCAUAAGGCACAUCAUCCAGGAACAGCCGGAAGAUAAAGAGUUGAAUACUCCACAGUUUAUUGGAGCUUGUUUUGAUGGCCUUUUGUCCUUGUUAAAAAGUCUGUGCUUGCCAUCUAUGGUUACUUCAAACCUUCCUUUUCUGUCAUAUCUAUUAAUGAAUAUACAGUUUUAUGAAGAAAAUUAGAAAACUGGAAUACCUACAAGAAAUACUGAACAAAUGGACUGGAAGAAAUCUGAGGGAAGUCUUGGUUAUUUCUGAAUCUCAGAAGUGCCAGGAACUGAACAAGAACUUUUCAUUUGAGUCGUGAACCAAGUAAACAUUUCUAAAUUUUUUG
ensembl:lncRNA